CACAGUGAUUCAGUUAUAUAUAUAUCUUAUAACUAUAACUUCCAUUAUAGUUUAUUACAAGAUAUUGAAUAUAGUUCCCUGUGCUAUACAGCAGGACCUUGUUGUUUAUCUGUUUUAUAUUUAGUAGUGUGUAUCUGCUAAUCCCACUCUCCUAAUUUAUCCCUCCCCCGUCUACCCCUUUGGUAGCCAUAAGUUUGUUCUCUAUGUCUCACACUUUCUUUUUGAAAAGUUUGCUGCAGGCAAAGCCUUCUACUCAGAUGCCCUUCUUCUAAAUCACACACACGGUACAUGACACGGGGUGUUGGAGUGGGGGCACUGGACAGUAGACACAAAACAGUCCUGGUAUCUCUGCAAGUGACGUGAUAGACACACUGCCUGAUCCCCGCAGCUAAAAUGGGACUCCAGGCGCCGGAAGGAAUGGAAAGUGAUGACGCAGGACGCCUGAACGGUAUCUUAACCUCAGAGGAUGUUCACAGCCAGUGCUAUCCAAGCUGAAUGGACUGGAGCCCAGUGCGUAUGACGCCAUCGUGGACAGAGAAUGUAAUGACGUCGCCUGUUAUUCCCUGCUUCAAGUGUCCUGUCUAACGGACCUACCCGUUAAGGAGAAAAUAAAAUAAAGCUUUAGUUCAUCACCAUUUGAUGUUGGAAAUGCACCCUGGAAGAGGAUAGAGUUUACUCACUUAAAGCGGGAGCAAUUCUUUCCACUGAAGGCCAAUACCAGUCCUGUGGGAGUCCAUCAAGAAGUUCUUGGCAAGAACCUCCGAAGCCACCGCAGUAGAACCACGGAGCCAGGUCAUGUGCCUUCCCAUCUGCUAGGUGGCUCCGGCCCUGGGCUGCCGGUCCCUGACGGCUUGACAUUAAUCUCUGCUGCCCCUUGUACCUGCCCCUUUCCCUCCCACCCACCUUCCCAACUGGGUGAUUCCAGAGAUUCCCUCUCCCUCACUUCAUAACCCUGGAGGUGCGCGUGCAUGCGCACACACACACACACACACACACACACACACGCUUUGCCUCUCUUUGCCCAGUUCCUUUGCCAUUGCAGAAUCAUCACUGCAUCACACCAUGUCUGAGGUUAGCCAUGUCUCCCACAUGACAACCCCGCCCCCAACUCCUCUCCUGGUUCUACUGUAUCUGUUGAAAAUAGGACCGGACAUCCCUGGUGAUACAGUGGUUAAGAAUCCGCCUGCCACUGCAGGGGACACGGGUUCGAGCCCUGGUUCAGGAAGAUCCUACAUGCCGCGGAGCAACUAAGCCCGUGCACCACAAGUACUGAGCCUGCGCUCUAGAGCCUGCGAGCCACAACUACUGAGCCCACGUGCCGCAACUACUGAAGCCCGCGUGCCUAGAGCCCGUGCUCCGCAACAAGAGAAGCCACCGCAAUGAGAAGCCCGCGCACCGCAAUGAAGAGUAGCCCCCGCUCGCCGCAACUAGAGAAAGCCCGCGCGCAGCAACGAAGACCCAACGCAGCCAAAAAUAUAUAUAUAGAUAGAUAGAUAGAUAGAUAGAUAGAUUAAGAAUAGAAAAUAAGACCUUUGGUGGAGGAAAGGGGGGGAGAGAUUCCCUCUCCACCUCCUCCUCCUCACCCCACUCCCUCUGUUCCUCUCUUCUCAACACUAGUCCCUGCUAUUGAAUGUGGAAAGGAAAGGCUCUCACCCACGUCCUGCCACUGCACCUCCCUCUCCUGCCCACCACCUCGUGCCUGCCACGUGUCCAUGGUGAGAAGAAUGAGAGGAGGAUGGGAAAAGAUUGACCCCAGGAGGCUGGGGCGCAGUGCUGUCCCUCACGGCCCCUGACCCCCUGGACCACACCAUUACUCAGCACCCAGAGGGAACUCUACCCACCACCCUUGUCCUGUCUGCCCCCAGCCCUUCUCUGCUCCCACACCUCCUGCCAUAGUCCCUUCCUCCUUAGGGUGCCCAAUCCUUGUUCCCCACUUCUUCCCAGCCUCCGAGGCUCAGUAACUUCUGCCCUGGGCCAUGAGAUCCUUGCUAGUGGUGUACACCUGGGAGGUUCUUAAUCCAUUUCUAGGACUGCAGCGGAGGAGACGUAAGUUCCUGACAUUCAGAAUUAGGUCUCUGUCAAAGUGGGGUUUGCUCGCAUUUCCCCAGUGCCUGCAGGACAAAGUACAGAUUUCAUUAUGAUCCACGGGCUUUUUAUAACCUAGUUCUGCUCCUUGCUCCAGCCAUAACUGAUGCCCUCCCUCCUUCCUGCACCCUCCCCGCAUCAAGCCAAGUGGUAUCACUUGUAAUUUCGUUCACACUCUUUCUUUUGCAUGGAAUGUUGCCCUUCACCUCCUUACCGUUUGCUACUUGUUCUUCAAGGAGCAACUAAAAUGUCCUGUCUGUUGUUCUCCAUGACCUGCUUCUCCAGGCAGAAUUAAUUGCUCCCUAACCUGGAUUUCCACCCUUCUCGUGUACACUUCUAUUAGAGUGUUUAUCACAUUGCGUUAAAAUUUUUGUUUAUGUUCUGCCCUUCUCCAGACACCCUAUGCAACCAGGGGGAGUGUUUGGAAGGUCAAGGAACAUAUCUGAUCCAUCUUCAACUCCUAAUGAACUAGUGUGUGAUAAACUAAUGUGUGUUUGAUGAACAGAGUCAAAUAUAUGAUACACUUAUUAAUAGUUCGACAGGGACUUCCCUAGUGGUCCAGUGGUAAAGAAUGUGCCUUACAAUGCAGGGGAUGUGGGUUCGAUCCCUGGUCAGGGAACUAAGAUCCCACCUGCCGUGGGGCAACUAAGCCCAUGUGCCACACCUACUGAGCUUGUGCACCACAACUACUGAGCUCGUGUGCCUCUACUAGAGAGCCUGCAUGCUGCAGACUACAGAGCCCACGCACCCUGGAGCCUGCGUGCCACAACUAGAGAGGGAAAACCUGCACGCCACAACUAGAGAGAAGCCCACACGCCUCAACGAAAGAUCCUGCAUACCUCAACAAAGAUCCCGUGUGCCACAACUAAGACCCGAUGCAGCCAAAAAGAAAUUAAUUAAAUAAAUAAAUAAUAAAUCUUAAAAAAAAAAAAGUUCGACAAUGUAGGUGUAUUGUAGAUUAUUCAUUAGAUUAAAAUUGACACCUACCACAUGCUGGGAGCUAUUCCAGACAUCAGAGGAACAGCCAUAAAAGUGACAGGUAAGCUGCCCAUCGUCGUGGUCAUCACAUGGAGGGAGAUGGGCAAAGAAACAAGUAAACAAACAAAUAGAAUCAUUUCAGAGAGACUUCAGUUCUGUGAAUGAAACACCACAGGGUGAUGUGGUGGAGUGGCCAGGAGGCAUACUUUACAACUGGGUGAUCAGGGAAGGACAUGCUGAGGAGAUAUUGGUGACAUUUUCUCUGAGAUGAAUGAUAAGAAGGAAACGGUGAAGGUCUGGGUGGCACAACAUUUCAGACAGGGAACAGCAGUUACACAGUCCAAGGUAGGAAUGAGUGUGUCAUGUUUGAGAAACUGAAAACUAAGUGCUGAUGGAGAAAAAUGAGAGAGGGAGUGCCGUGGACUGAGUUACAUCCUCCCAAGGUUCCUAUGUUGAGGCCCUAACUCUCUUUAUGAUGGUAUUUGGAGGUGGGGUCUUUGGGAGGUAAUUAGGGUUAGAUGAGGUCAUGGGGGUGGGGCUCUCGUGAUGGCAUCAGUGCCCUCAUAAGAAGAGACAGCAGAGAGCUCAUGUGUUUUAUCUCUCUGUCGUUUGAGGACACAGCGAGAAGGUGGCCGUCUGCAAGCCAGGAAGCAUCCUCACUGGAAAAUGAACCUUGACCUUGAACUUCCAGCCUCCGCAACUGUGAGAAAAUUAAUUUCUGUUGUUUAAGCCUCCCAGUCUGUGGUAUUUUGUUAUAGCAGCCCCAGCUAACUAGCACAGCGAGUAAUACCAGAGGAAGUAAGAACAGCAGGCGGAGGAACAGAUCUUUUAGGACCUUGCACACUGGGCCAUGUUGUGAGGAAGCCCAGACCAGCCCUGGCAGAGGGACCACGUGGAGAGAUCUCCCCAGGUAUGGGGUCCAGCCCCACUGAGGUCCCAGUCACCAACCAGCAUCAACCACCAGGGUGUGAGUUAAGGCAACAGCAAGUCCCCCCUGCCUUCCAGGCUUCCCAGCCCUAACGUGCUGGAGCAGAGACUAGCCAAUUCCCUUAUUAACUAUAGACACCAUGCUGUACAUUGCAUCCCCAGGGCUUACUUAUUUUAUAGCUGGCAGUUUGUACCUCUUGACUCCCUUCACCCAUUUCUCCCAUCCUCCCACCCUCCUACCCCCAUCUCUGGCAACCACCAAUCUAUCUAUGAGUUCAGUUGUUUGUUUGUUUUCAGAUUCCACAUAUAAGCAAGAACAUAUAGUAUUUGUCUUCUCUGUCUGACUUACUUCACUUAGCAUAAUGCCCUCAGAAUCCAUCCAUGCUGUUGCAAAUGGCAAGAUUUCCUUCUCUUUUUAUGGCUGAGUAAUAUUGCAUAAUAUUUUUAUGAGUAAUAAAAUAUAAAUAUAUAAAAUAUACUUUACACCAUAAUAUAUAUAGCACAUUUUUCUUUAUCCACUUAUCCAUUAAUGGACUUUUAGGUUGUUUCCUUAUUUUGCCUGGUGUAAAUCAUGCUGCAAUGAACAUUGGGGUGCAUGUAUCUUUUCAAGUUAAGGUUUUUGUUUUCUUUGGAUAAAUACCAAGAAGCAGAUUUGCUGGAUCAUUUGGUAGUUCUAUUUUUAAUUUUUUGAGGAAUGUCUAUACUGUUUUCCAUAGUGGCUGCACCAAUAUACAUUCCCAUAUACAUUCCCAUUCACAGCACACAAGGGUUCCAUUUUCUCCACGUCCUUGCCAACACUUGUUAUUUCUUGUCUUUUUUUUAAUAGCCAUUCUAACAGGUGUGACGUGAUAGAUCAUUGUGGAGUUUUGUGGGGGGGGGGGCGUUUAAAUUAUUAUUUAUUUAUUUUUGGCUGUGUUGGGUCUUCGUUUCUGUGCGAGGGCUUUCUCCAGUUGCGGCAAGUGGGGCCACUCUUCAUCACGAUGCGCGGGCCUCUCACUAUUGUGGCCUCUCUUGUUGCGGAGCACAGGCUCCAGAUGCGCAGGCUCAGCAGUUGUGGCUCACGGGCCCAGUUGCUCCGCGGCAUGUGGGAUCUUCCCAGACCAGGGCUCG